CACCCUGGAUCAUUCUGUAUGGAUUGUGGAACUACAGUGUGUAGAAACAGUGAGGCAGCCAGCUGCAAAAGCGUGGGGAGUAGCUGCAGUGCGGGUUGAGGGAGGCAUUCAGGCUCAGGGAAUUAGGAUAACAGGAAUACUGCAUUAGGACAAGGAUGCACUCUCUGCACAGCAUCUCAAGUUCAGUAAUUUAGAAUCUGCCAAAAUUUCCUAGCUCAAUUUUCUCAUGCUGAACCAGUCCCAUAAUACUUGGAUAAUGGCAGCAGCAGUAAGCAGCACAGGCACAAGCCUUUUUCCUUCAUGUAUCAGCGGACAUCAGAAGAGGGAGGAUGCCAGCCUCAUCCCACUGGGCCAUGUCCAAAGGAACACCUAGCAGACCUGCUGCCUCUCCAGAGCAGCUUUGGAAGGUGGUGGGCGAUUUGCAAGAGGAUCUGUGAAAGAUGAUUAAACAACGUGAUAUAAUUGAAAAAUAAGUUUAUGAAGCCUAAGCCAGUACUGACAGAUGCAGAACAUGUAAGAGUGGCCUCAUGCACUGGGACAGCCUUAAGGACUGGGCUGUCUGGUGCCAAGCAGAUGUCACAGGAGAUGAGUUUUCAGAGGAUCCAGUUCUGGAACUAAAAAAUACAAGAGGAUUCUUUCUCACAUGGAUUCAGAUGAUGAAGGAACGGAGAGCUUUCUUCAGUUUGAGGAAGGAUUGAGCCCCAUGUCUCAGUCCAUGCUUAUCCCACCCCACCUGUGAUGUCCCCAGCCCAGUGCUGGUGGGGAGUCUCCUCCUUGCUGAGCACUCACACAGUGCCUGCAAGCUGCACAUUGCAGAGCAGCUGGAAACACAGGCUCAAACACCCAGACAUUUAAAAAAUAUUACAGAAUCCAUGUUUUAAUAUUCCCUUAAAUUUCUGCAGUUUAGCACAUAUUUACCACAGAGUUAAUAGAGUUAACAGAGUUUACCACAGAGUAUCACAGAGCUAAUUUAGGUCUUCAAAGCCAGAGAAACUUGAGAUAUUAACCACAGAA